rnacentral:rRNA from 1 species
UAGGGAAUCUUCCGCAAUGGACGCAAGUCUGACGGAGCAACGCCGCGUGAGUGAAGAAGGAUUUCGGUUCGUAAAACUCUGUUGUUAGAGAAGAACAGCGCAUAGAGUAACUGUUAUGCGUGUGACGGUAUCUAACCAGAAAGCCACGGCUAACUACGUGCCAGCAGCCGCGGUAAUACGUAGGUGGCAAGCGUUGUCCGGAUUUAUUGGGCGUAAAGCGAGCGCAGGCGGUCAAUUAAGUCUGAUGUGAAAGCCCCCGGCUCAACCGGGGAGGGUCAUUGGAAACUGGUUUAACUUGGUGCAGAAGAAGAGAGUGGAAUUCCAUGUGUAGCGGUGAAAUGCGUAGAUAUAUGGAGGAACACCAGUGGCGAAGGCGACUCUCUGGUCUGUAACUGACGCUGAGGCUCGAAAGCGUGGGUAGCAAACAGG